rnacentral:misc_RNA from 1 species
GAUGAAGAACGUAGCGAAAUGCGAUAAGUAGUGUGAAUUGCAGAAUUCAGUGAAUCAUCGAAUCUUUGAACGCACAUUGCGCCCUUUGGUAUUCCAAAGGGCAUGCCUGUUCGAGCGUCAUUUGUACCCUCAAGCUUUGCUUGGUGUUGGGCGUCUUGUCUCUAGCUUUGCUGGAGACUCGCCUUAAAGUAAUUGGCAGCCGGCCUACUGGUUUCGGAGCGCAGCACAAGUCGCACUCUCUAUCAGCAAAGGUCUAGCAUCCAUUGAGCCUUUUUUUCAGCUUUUGACCUCGGAUCAGGUAGGGAUACCCGCUGAACUUAAGCAUAUCAAUAAGCGGAGGA